AUGGGAGUUGAACAAUGGCUAGUUCACUCGGUUUGGGACCGAGAAGGUACAGGUUCGAAUCCUGUCUCUCAUACAA
rnacentral:tRNA from 1 species